UGGGGAAUAUUGCACAAUGGGCGCAAGCCUGAUGCAGCGACGCCGCGUGGGGGAUGACGGCCUUCGGGUUGUAAACUCCUUUCGCUAGUGACGAAGCUUUUUGUGACGGUACCUAGAUAAGAAGCACCGGCUAACUACGUGCCAGCAGCCGCGGUAAUACGUAGGGUGCGAGCGUUGUCCGGAAUUACUGGGCGUAAAGGGCUCGUAGGUGGUUUGUCGCGUCGUCUGUGAAAUUCCGGGGCUUAACUCCGGGCGUGCAGGCGAUACGGGCAUAACUUGAGUACUGUAGGGGUAACUGGAAUUCCUGGUGUAGCGGUGAAAUGCGCAGAUAUCAGGAGGAACACCGAUGGCGAAGGCAGGUUACUGGGCAGUUACUGACGCUGAGGAGCGAAAGCAUGGGUAGCGAACAGG
rnacentral:rRNA from 1 species